rnacentral:rRNA from 1 species
UACGUAGGGGGCAAGCGUUGUCCGGAAUCAUUGGGCGUAAAGAGCGUGUAGGCGGCCCGAUAAGUCCGCUGUGAAAGUCCAGGGCUCAACCCUGGAAUGCCGGUGGAUACUGUCGGGCUCGAAUCCGGAAGAGGUGAGUGGAAUUCCUGGUGUAGCGGUGAAAUGCGUAGAGAUCAGGAGGAACACCCGUGGCGAAGGCGGCUCUCUGGUCGACAACUGACGCUGAGACGCGAAAGCGUGGGGAGCGAACAGG